AAAAAAUUUUGAAAAUCAAAGAUGUUCUAUUGGAAUUUGGUUGAUUUGAGGAGAAAGUUUCUUUAAAUUUGCCUACUUCUGAACAGGAAGAAUUUCCUUUUGGAAAAAAAUCUAUAUCAGUAGAGCAUAUGAUGUCGAUAGACCAAGGUAAAGCACUCAAUGAGCUAGGGUGGCCCCAUUUCCCUUACCAACCUUAGGGAAACUCCUAAUACAGGCCUAUAAUGUUUGUGCGGACUUUUUGGGUGCCUUGAUAAAACUGCAUUAUAGCCUCAUUGUUUAGUAGUGAAGUGCACUAUAUAUUAUCAUGAAGGAGAUAAGGAAAAGGACAUGUAAAUAAUGUCUGUAACAAUAUCGAAUCACUGAUCUUUGGCAUUGAGGAAGAAGGAACAGAGAAAAUGUGUCCUAUCUGAUAUGGGAUUAGGGGAUGAGGAAUAAUUCCCAUGGCUGCCUGUCUCUCUAUGUAAGAUGCCCAAGUUACUAAAUGCAUCUCCAUUUCCUACUAACAUAGAACGUCUUAGCUGUUUAUAGUUUACCGUAAUAUCGUUAUAUUUAGUAUCUUUCCUUUUAGUUAAAAGUGUUUUCUCUUUGAACAGGACCAAAAGUGUGCCCUUGUUGCAAGGAUAAAGGACCAUUUAUGUCCAGCAUUAUAAAAUAGAGGACCUAAAUGAGCCUACCAUUAAAAUAAGGGACUAUUCAGGUUGUUUUCUCAAGAUAAUUUCUGCAAAUUUCAUUUCAGCCACUGAAAUUUUAUUUCUGUCCUUUCUCAAAUAUGUCUUGCAGUGAUUUUGCAGCUGUAUUGCUGAUGAUCAGACAUUGAAAGGUGAUUUAUCAGAUGAGAGCCUCAAACAUGAAAAAGAGACUUUAAAAGUACAUUCAAUGUGUUGACAUCCCUUUUCUAUUGUCCGGGGGCUUGCAUUUCACGAUAUAGGUAAGGAUUUACAGGAUGCCGCAUCUGCUCAGUAGGAUUUGCUCGUAUCAGCUUGUUCGUGAGCCCCCAUCUUAUUUGGGGUGUUAUCCUUAUUUAUUUUCAUGUCAUGUUUAGCAAGUUAAAGUAUGCUGGGAGCCUUGUCCCAGCAAGUAUGUUUUACAGUUCAGAUUCAUGAUAGAGGUUUCAUAGACUAGUCAGUCAGUUAUGUCAUUACUUAGAGUUGUGUAGCCAUCUUGGCUUAGUUCAUGAUAUUUCCGCAUUCAUUUUUUUUAUACAAGUAUUUUAUUAAAUAUAUUAUGACUUCUCAUCUUUUGUUAAGGCUCAUCAUGUUUCAUGUUAUAUUCCGCUCAUGUAUAUGUCCCAUGUUAAUUCAGCAAGCCAUGUGGUUUGCUUGGUCACAUGCAGUCAGACACCAAGUGUCGUGUUACGGCCAGGCCAUAGUUCGGGGCGUGAAAAGUUUGAAGAGAUUUUCACACAUAGUUUUUUUAUAGUAACCGGUAGGUCUACCUCCUAGGCGCUGUUAAAUAGGAGUAUUCCCUAAUCUUAACCAAAUUCAAAGAGUAAUAGAUUAAAAGAUUAUACUCCCGAAGUGUAAAAUCAUGUGUAGUAACAUAACUGACCUGAACAUGAAAUAAACUCAAUGAAUAAACAAGGGUACCAAUUUAAGUUUCAAAGAGAAGACUAAUAAAUUACUAGAUCAAAGCACAAAUGCUAUUAAGAACUGGUGAAUAGCGAGGACUAAUAAAUUACCUGUCUUAUUUAGUUUAUGCCUGCCUUUUUUGCAAACCUGUGUAUCACGUUAUCUGUAAUACCAUUGACCUAUUGAGCCUUGAGAAAAGUAAUGUUUCUAGGGAAAUGACAGAUUUGGAAGUACAGGUAAAAUUAGUUGCAAAUGCUGUAGAAUACACAAUUCAACUGAGAUUAACAGAAACUGUAAUGGCAACAACUAAAAGCCAGAAAAAAAAAAAGGCACAUUGGAGGUUUCGUCGCAGCCUGCAACAAGUAGCAGAGGACAUUGAUCGUGUCUGGAAAGAUUCAAGAUAAAGGUAAACAAGCAUCAACGGGAUCUUUGGUUAAAGAUUCUUCAAGUUCAGCAAAGAUGUUCUGAAUGUUAAGAACGAUAUGGUUGGACGUGAUGCACAAA